UGUACGGACUGGCUUGAGGUGUGUCGUGCACUUCCACGGCAUGAAGUUGGCAGGGGGCCGCCUCCCUCCCCCUUUCCAUAUUUUACAUUUUUGUUCUCUCUCUCUCAUCUAUUUGAGACCUUGGACUCUGCAUUUCAUCCCUCCCACCUUUGGUCUCUUUGGGUGCAUUUCACGCUCCUUCUCCUGUGGGUCAGUGCUUCUGAGUUUUUCUACUUCAGAUCUUGUUUAGACAUGAUUGGUCAAGAGCAAUGGUGGACCAAAGAUCGACAUGUUUCCCGCUCGAAGGGAGCGCGUCAGACCUAUAUGAUUGGGGCCUUCUGUCAUUUAUAUACCAUCCUGAGAAGGACCGAGCUUUUAUCUCCAGUUUAGAUAGGAGACCUAUAGGAUCAGACCAUUCAUUAUUGAUCACUCCCUUCGAACCGAGUUCUGCCUUCGAUUGAGAUUGGAGGCAAAAUCUAUUCAUUUCCCUACUGAGGAUAUGGUGAGUAUUAUAAGAGCUAGGGGCAUUUGAGAGCCCUUACUGAGUAUCCCUCUUGAGGAGGGAGACGGGACCUCUUAGGAACUUCUCCCCCUCUUGAGAGAAAGAAGAAGGGAAAAUAUCAUAUAUAUCUAAACUGGCUUGAGAAUAAUUUUGGAGACUAGAGUGGAGUCUCUCAUGAGCAGUCAGGGAGGUAGGUCGCAGGGAGUACCAUGUCCGUCUAUUGAGGAUAUAUUGGGUGAUGCUGACGAGGUUCAUGUUGCGAAGGAUAGGAGGCGGAUCUCUCUCAAGACCAGGAGAUGGCGCGAGAAUAAGCUUUUCGCAGCUGAGCCCGAUCUUUUCACUGUCUCGGUGGAUAUGGAGGUGGUGUACAAUCCUAUGUUUAUAGAUGAGGUCCAGGAGCCGAGGGCCUUUUUUAUUGUUCUUAUUUGGUGACUUCAUCUUCUUUGAUGGGGCGAAGGGAUGGGCCAAAUAUAAGAUAGCCUUGCCUACUAGGGAUCUGGAGUACCUGGAGAGAGUUGUUUGGGCUCCUGUUAUUUUUGUCAGGCUCUCUACGCAGGAUUGCUACAGAGGAGGUUACCUAUGUUGGAGGAUAUUCGGUCUUCCUUCAUGUUUGGGCGUGGGAGUAUGUUGCCAUCCCCCGUCCCAUCCCGGGUGAGUUUAUAGAGCAGAUAGUCUUUGGAGUUGUGGGAGAUCGACUCUAUUUUUUCUUCUCCCAAUUCUUUGACACUAUGUCAGGUUAGUCAAAUUCCCCUUUGAUUUUCUUUCACAUAUCUAAUUUU